CGAUGAACCACUUCGGUGGGGAUUAGUGGCGAACGGGUGAGUAACACGUGGGCAAUCUGCCCUGCACUCUGGGACAAGCCCUGGAAACGGGGUCUAAUACCGGAUAUGAGCCUGGGAGGCAUCUCCCGGGUUGUAAAGCUCCGGCGGUGCAGGAUGAGCCCGCGGCCUAUCAGCUUGUUGGUGAGGUAAUGGCUCACCAAGGCGACGACGGGUAGCCGGCCUGAGAGGGCGACCGGCCACACUGGGACUGAGACACGGCCCAGACUCCUACGGGAGGCAGCAGUGGGGAAUAUUGCACAAUGGGCGAAAGCCUGAUGCAGCGACGCCGCGUGAGGGAUGACGGCCUUCGGGUUGUAAACCUCUUUCAGCAGGGAAGAAGCGAGAGUGACGGUACCUGCAGAAGAAGCGCCGGCUAACUACGUGCCAGCAGCCGCGGUAAUACGUAGGGCGCAAGCGUUGUCCGGAAUUAUUGGGCGUAAAGAGCUCGUAGGCGGCUUGUCACGUCGAUUGUGAAAGCCCGAGGCUUAACCUCGGGUCUGCAGUCGAUACGGGCUAGCUAGAGUGUGGUAGGGGAGAUCGGAAUUCCUGGUGUAGCGGUGAAAUGCGCAGAUAUCAGGAGGAACACCGGUGGCGAAGGCGGAUCUCUGGGCCAUUACUGACGCUGAGGAGCGAAAGCGUGGGGAGCG
rnacentral:rRNA from 1 species